CCUGUUGCAAAAGGAAGAGAGCAGCCCCAAGCAGCCAUAAUGCAUUCAGCCUAACAAGCAUGGGUGGAGUUGGGUCCACUCUUUCCAUCAAACCAAUAAAUAAAGUGACAAAUUGUACAUAGAAUUACUCAAAACCAUGAGUGCUAAAAUCAUCAACCUGAAAAUUCAUUUGCACUUCGACUGUAGGAGAUAUUGUUAGUAUCUU
rnacentral:lncRNA from 1 species